GACGGGAUCUCGGCUGGUUUCUCGCUUUCAGGGAAGAGUUGCAAGAGCAAUCCGCCAAGGAAAAAGAAUGCAUGCCUCUAGAAGAAUACACUGCCUUCGUGCUCACAGGCCAAAACCUUCUGCUACCACCGGAGAGGCCGCGCAGAAUUCUUGUGGGUGCAAACAGGGGUGUCGAAAUGAGCAAACUGCCGUCGGUACACUCUACACACUCAUUGUCAUGGUCAUCCUAAUUGCAAUUUGGGGAGUCUGGGCCAGGAAAGAUUUCUAAGCAUGCUGAAGGAAGACGUUCGAUAUCAAAAGCUCAGAGAGACCCUCUUAGGGACAGGAAGAGCAAAACGCUCGGCUUACACACACCGGAACUGCUAUCGAAGGACAAUUGCCGAUGGAUGUGAAGUCUCUCUCUGCCCCUCUUUCUGGCAACGCUCAAAAUUCAACAGAGAAAAGAAUGCAAAGUGAUGAUUCUUUUGAGACAGCUUUGUAUAAUGAUGAUCAUAAAAUGAUGCAGCCCUGUAAAUCCUGUAAAUGCAAAGUAUGUAAAAUAUAAAUAUAAAAUAUACCUAUUUUAAGAA